AUGAUAACUCCGCCUGUGUCGUAGUUAGUGUCUUCUCUAUAACACAGCCGGUCCCAAGCCCGGAGAAAGGAGGAGGGUCGU
rnacentral:ribozyme from 1 species